rnacentral:rRNA from 1 species
CCUACGGGUGGCAGCAGUGGGGAAUAUUGCACAAUGGGCGAAAGCCUGAUGCAGCAACGCCGCGUGAAGGAAGACGGUUUUCGGAUUGUACACUUCUGUUCUUAGUGAAGAAUAAUGACGGUAACUAAGGAUCAAGCCACGGCUAACUACGUGCCAGCAGCCGCGGUAAUACGUAGGUGGCAAGCGUUGUCCGUAAUUACUGGGUGUAAAGGGAGCGUAGGAGGGAAGCCAAGUCAGUUGUGAAAACUACGGGCUUAACCUGUAGACUGCAGUUGAAACUGGCUUUCUUGAGUGAAGUAGAGGUUAGCGGAAUUACGAGUGUAGCGGUGAAAUGCGUAGAUAUUCGGAGGAACACCGGUGGCGAAGGCGGCCAACUGGGCUUUAACUGACGCUGAGGCUCGAAAGUGUGGGGAGCAAACAGGAUUAGAUACCCCAGUAGUC